rnacentral:lncRNA from 1 species
AAUUUCACACCUGGAUAUGCUCACUCAACCAAGAAUAUAGAGAAAGCGCUUCUGCCCCGAGACUCAGAAAAAUACUCUGCACCGCUCCUGUGCAGUGUCUAGAUUCCUAGACCCAGCUUUGCUUAACAGAGUUGCACUGGGG